GGGCUAGUAGCGUAGGGGUUAUCGCGUUCGCUUUGCAUUCAUAGGACUGAGAUUUGUGAUAGUUUCCAUUGCGAAAGGUCUCCGGUCCAAAUCCGGACUAGUCCA